rnacentral:rRNA from 1 species
CCUACGGGUGGCUGCAGUGAGGAAUAUUGGUCAAUGGACGCAAGUCUGAACCAGCCAAGCCGCGUGCAGGAUGACUGCCCUAUGGGUUGUAAACUUCUUUUAUACGAGAGUAAAGGGAGGUACGCGUAUCUUUCUGUAAGUAUCUUACGAAUAAGGAUCGGCUAACUCCGUGCCAGCAGCCGCGGUAAUACGGAGGAUUCGAGCGUUAUCCGGAUUUAUUGGGUUUAAAGGGUGCGUAGGUGGGUGGUUAAGUUAGUUGUGAAAGUCUGAGGCUCAACUUGGGAAUUGUAGUUGAUACUGGCCGUCUUGAGUGCAGUUGAGGUAGGCGGAAUGUGUGGUGUAGCGGUGAAAUGCUUAGAGAUCAUAAAGAACACCGAUUGCGAAGGCAGCUUACUAAGCUACUUCUGACGUUGAUGCACGAAAGUGUGGGGAGCAAACAGGAUUAGAUACCCUAGUAGUC